AACAAGGUUUCCGUAGGUGAACCUGCGGAAGGAUCAUUACCAAAAGAUAAUCUUUCAAACUGAAAGAUCUUUUCCUUUGUGCUGGCUUUGACCGUAUGUAAUUUUGGGGCUUGAAUAUGGUUCCACGCAAGUGGACCUGCCCCAAAACCAUUAUACCAACCUUAUAAAAUUUGACUGAACAACUAAACAAUGAUUUUAAUAAUCUGUUUAAAACAACUUUCAACAACGGAUCUCUUGGUUCUCGCAUCGAUGAAGAACGCAGCGAAAUGCGAUACGUAAUGUGAAUUGCAGAAUUCAGUGAAUCAUCGAAUCUUUGAACGCACAUUGCACUCUCUGGUAUUCCGGAGAGUAUGCCUGUUUCAGUAUCAUGAGCACUCUCACACCUAACCUUUGGGGAUAAAGUGUGGAAUUGGGAUGCGCCAGUUUGUUAAAAGCUGGCCCUCUUAAAAUUCAGUUCAUGACUGUUUUCAAUAUGAGCAGUUUGGCCUAAUAGUUUUGGCUCUUUUGUCAAAUCUUUGGCUUCAUUCGCUUCUGAAAAUCAGUCUUGAUAUACAGAAAACUCAUUCAAAUUUUGAUCUGAAAUCAGGUAGGGCUACCCGCUGAACUUAAGCAUAUCAU
rnacentral:rRNA from 1 species